rnacentral:ncRNA from 1 species
CAAAGGUUUGGUCCUGACUUUACUGUCAACUCUAGCUAAACUUACACAUGCAAGUAUCCGCGACCCCGUGAGAAUGCCCAUAGUUUUCUGCCCGAAAACAAGGAGCCGGUAUCAGGCACACCCUAUUUAAGCCCACGACGCCUUGCUUAGCCACACCCUCAAGGGAACUCAGCAGUGAUAAACCUUAAGCUAUAAGUGAAAACUUGACUUAGUAAAAAGCUAAGAGGGCCGGUAAAACUCGUGCCAGCCACCGCGGUUAUACGAGAGGCCCAAGUUGACAGACACCGGCGUAAAGCGUGGUUAAGAAUAAAUUGAAACUAAAGCCGAACACCUCCAGAGCAGUUAUACGUAUCCGGAGACACGAAGCCCCAUCACGAAAGUGGCUUUAAUAACCCCUGACCCCACGAAAGCUAUGGCACAAACUGGGAUUAGAUACCCCACUAUGCUUAGCCGUAAACAUUGAUAGAAUACUACACCCCCUAUCCGCCCGGGUACUACGAGCAUUAGCUUAAAACCCAAAGGACUUGGCGGUACUUUAGAUCCCCCUAGAGGAGCCUGUUCUGUAACCGAUAACCCCCGUUAAACCUCACCCUCCCUUGUUUUUCCCGCCUAUAUACCGCCGUCGUCAGCUUACCCUGUGAGGGACUUAUAGUAAGCAAAAUUGGCAUUGCCCAGAACGUCAGGUCGAGGUGUAGUACAUGAGAGGGGAAGAAAUGGGCUACAUUCGCUAGCAUAGCGAAUACGAAUGAUGUAAUGAAAACGUACAUACUGAAGGAGGAUUUAGCAGUAAGUGGAAAAUAGAGUGUUCCACUGAAGUUGGCUCUAAAGUGCGCCCACACCGCCCGUCACUCUCCCCAAGCUUAUCAAACCUACUUAACUAAAACAAUACAAUCGCAAAGGGGAGGCAAGUCGUAACAUGGUAAGUGUACCGGAAGGUGCACUUGGAAAAAU